CCAUUUCUGCACUGAGACUUUUUGUUCUUGAAAGCUUGUCAUGGAAGCUCUUUCUUCUGCUUUCCCAAUGAUUCAGCAAGAUGUUCCAGGCUGUCUCUGGAGGGUCUGACCUUUUGGAUUGGAGCAAAUGAGUCUGGAGAGGAUGGUGUGACUGAUUAAGAAACUUGAAAUGGAGGAAUUAUCCUGAAUUAUCCAUUGGGCCCUACGUAAUCACAGUGUAAUCCUUUUAAGAGGGAAAUAAAGGGAGACUUGACAUAUAAGGAAGAAGAGGAGAAGGCAAUGUGACCACGGAGGCAGAGAUUGGAGGGAUGUGGUCACAAGCCAAGGAAUGCUGACAGCCAGCAGAAGCUACAAGAAGCAAGGAACAGAAUCUCCUCUAGAGCCUCUGCUGACCCCUUGAUAUUGACUCAGUGAUGCUGAUUUGGAUAUCUCACCUCCAGAACUGUGAGAAAAUAAAUCUCAUUGUUAUAAGCCCUCAAGCUUGUGGUAAUUUGUUACACCUGUCAUAGGAAACUGAUACACUUAACUUGAACCUAGGGAGUUAGAUU